UACGUAGGUGGCAAGCGAUACUCGGAAUCACUAGGCGUAAAGCGCAGGUAGGCGGUUUGGUAAGUCUUUUGUGAAAGCUCCUGGCUCAACUGGGAGAGGUCAAGGGAAACUGCCAAGCUAGAGUGUGGUAGGGGAUACUGGAAUUCCUGGUGUAGCGGUGAAAUGCGUAGAUAUCUGGAGGAACACCGGUGGCGAAAGCGGUUCACUGGCCCGACACUGACACUGAGGUGCGAAAGCUAGGGUAGCAAACGGG
rnacentral:rRNA from 1 species